UACGGGGGGGGCAAGCGUUGUUCGGAAUUACUGGGCGUAAAGGGUCUGUAGGUGGCCAACUAAGUCAGACGUGAAAUCCCUCAGCUUAACUGGGGAACUGCGUCUGAUACUGGUUGGCUUGAGUGCAGGAGAGGAAUGCGGAAUUCCAGGUGUAGCGGUGAAAUGCGUAGACAUCUGGAGGAACACCGGUGGCGAAGGCGGCAUUCUGGACUGCAACUGACACUGAAAGACGAAAAGCCAGGGGAGCAAACAGG
rnacentral:rRNA from 1 species